GAGGGAUAUACAUGGUCCCCCAGAGAAGGGGAAAAUGUCAGGAUCUCCUGAGCAAAUUGGGAGCAUGGCGGGAGGGGAGAGGGAGCUAGGAGAAUGAACCAUUCAUUUUUAUAAAUAUACAAACAGCAUUAAAAUGGAAGCUGAGAUGAUCUUAAACAUUUUCAAAUUUGUUUUCUUCAUUUUACAAUGGAAAUAGUAAUAUAAAUAAUGCAUUGUUGAAGACUAGUGGAAUCUAGACCACAAUUACAUCAUAGGUUUUAAUUGAUUAAGUGUUCAAUCUUUUAAAUUAAACCAUGUAUCAGAGGUUUUCAAUUUUUUGUUUUGCAGCUGAAAAACUAAAUUACAGACUCCUUGACUUGGCAGUCAUUCUGUUGGUUCAUAGCCCAGUGUUUCUAGCUGGUGAAUUUUCAUUCUUGAUUUUUUAUUUUUAAUUAGCUGACAAAUAUGAACUGAAUGCAUUGAUUUCUCUAACACAUUGUUUUGAAAUAUGUAUAUGUGUGGAAUGGCUCCAUGAGAUAAUUAACAUACAUUGUCUUGUCAUUUCUGAGGUCAGAAAAGAAGCCUUUCUUUGCAGCAUUCAAGAAUAUGAUAGUUAGCUGCUAUAGUCACCAUAAUGUCUAAUUUAUCUCUUGAACUUACUGAAAUCUUCAGUAACCUCCUAAAUAGCUGAAAAUUUGUGUUUUGGGACCACAACUUUGCCUACUGCCCUUAUCCUGGUAAUGACCAUUCUUCUCUUUGCCUCUGUAAACUUAGCUUUUCUAGAUUCCAUGUGUAAUUGAAAUCAUAUAAUGUUUGUCCUCCUGUUCCACACUUAUUUCACUUAACACAUUAAUUUCCAGGCUCACCCAUCAUGUUAUGUAAGUGAAAGGAUUUGCCACUUUUUGUUUAAACACAGAAUAGUGUUUCAUUGUGUAUGUUCCAUGUUUUCUUUUUAUCUAUUUAACUAGUGACAGAACUUGUCUUACCGAUUGUUUUGCUCAUAUGUAUCUAAACACACUAAUAUCAGGGUGGAUCAUGUGGAACUGCCAUUUUUGUGAGUCAGUAACAAUCAGGUAUCAGCCAUUAUGUACAGUUCAGCCUGUAACAACUGCUACCGUUUGUUGAUCACUCACAUUGUUCCUGGUACAGUCCUUGGCUCAUUUGUUUUUUAAACUUAUUCAUUCUUUAUAUUUAAUUGAAUUUUUACAAUAGUCAUGAAAGAUAGGAAUUUCAACACAAUGAAAUUUGAGAAACUUGGGUUCUCCAUAGUUAGAUAAAGUUCUACAGAUCACUGUAGCUAACACAUGUCAAAGUCUAAUCUGAACCCUCAUUGAUGUGAUAGUGAAAAACACUAUUAUCUGUUAUCCAGGGCUUUCAGAUAUAUUGUGUUGCAGCAUGGAAUUCUCUUGUACUUUUGUAGGUACAAUGUAUGUGUGUGUGAUGGGGGAGGCACACCCAUGCUGUGGCACAUGUGUUGAAGACAAUUUGUAGGAAUGGUUCCUUUCCUGCUAUUGUCUGUAUGUAUCUGAGGGAUUAAACCAAUACUCUUAGGUUUGGCAGUGAGUGUCUGUAUUUACUGAGCUAUAUUGGAGGCCUACAUUCUCUGUCCUUAACUGCAUCCUCUUACCAUGGUCUUGGAUAAGGUUGUUUGGGUGUUUGUUUAUAUAUUUAUUAUUAUACCUUUAUAUUUGUCAGUAAGUACUUGAUCAUAAGUAAAGGCAAGACCUUUAUUUUAUUCUGAAAGUACUUUUGAAAUUAAUUUAUUUUAUUUUGUGUAUGAGUGAUUUGUCUACUCUUUAUGUCAAUGUACUACUUGCCUGCCUAGUGCCCAGAAAGGUCAGAAGACAUCAUUGGAUCUGGGACUAGAGUAUUAGAAGGUUGUGAACCACCAUCUGCGAGCUAGAAUCAAACCUGGGGAUUUUUGGAAGAGUAGCAAGUGCUAUUGACCACUGAGCCAUCUUUCUAGUCCAGCUACCUUUAUUUUGAUUAAUGUUCUUCUGUAAUCCUUGUACCUUCUCCAUGUCAUUAGAAAUCAAAUAAAUGGCCGGGUGUUGGUGGCGCACGCCUUUAAUCCCAGCACUCGGGAGGCAGUGGCAGGCGGAUCUCUGUGAGUUCAAGGCCAGCCUGGUCUCCAGAGUGAGUGCCAGGAUAGGCUCCAAAGCUACACAGAGAAACCCUGUCUCGAAAAACAAACAAACAAAAAAAAAGUACUUCAUUUUGAUAGCUUAGGCUGUAUUGAAUGUGACCUCAGGGAACUGACUUUGUGAAUUUUCAGGGACUAUUUAGUUUGGCAUGCAUCAGAGGCCGGUAAUAGUUGUAGUGACUGUGACUAUAGUAGUCACGGAGGCCAAAGAUGCUUUCCAUUGAGAAUUAGUCAGUGUGGGGAAAUGUGAGGGAAGACAGUAGUACUGUGAUGUGUCACACAGACCAAAGGGCUUGUUAAAAUCUGUUAAUCUCAUGUGAUGGAUAGACUUAAUUCUUUCUUUGUGUAUUCAGAGAAAAGCUGAAUAUGGACAGCCAAUCUUCUAGCUUAUGAUCUGUUUUUUUUUUUUUUUUUUUUUUUCCAUGUCCAUCAUGCUAACUACAGUGUUUGGCAUAGAAAUAAUUUUUUUUUUAAUUUCGAGGCUAAUUUUGGAGAGGAAGAUAAAGAUCACUUUGUAUUUUCUUAUUACAAAGACUAUGGGUUUUUUAUUUCUAUAGAGAUGAGUUUAAAUCAUGGUUCAGGCAUAUUGGGGGGAAGUGUUACGACAGACUUUGUGUAGCCUGGAUUGUCUUGGGACUCUUUCUCUGUAGACCAGGCUGUCUUUGAACUCAGAGAUCAGGUUCAGGCAUGUUUAUGCAUUUAUGAUUUGGGCAAAUUAAUGUUUUGAGACAGUCUAGUGAUGGAAAUUUAAGACUUCAACUUGCUUGAGAAAAGGCAAGUGCAAUGCUUAGUAUCAGGUACCUGAGUUCUUAGAAAAUAAGUAUUGCUAUAAACACUCUAUAAUAUUGUCUAGUAUUAUUGGUAAUGACAUUGUAGAUGCCACUAUAUAGUAAUAUUGAGGAUUAUGUAUGUUUGUAAGUGUACCUGCUAAGUGCAGUUCAAUGACAUAGAGAUGGAAAGGAUUUGCUGAGCACAUAGCACAUGGUUGUAGGGCAGGUUGGUUUGUCCGUUGUUCCAUUAUUUUAGUGCUUAUAGGAUGUUUUGUAAAUAUAUACUCAAUGAUGAGGCUGUAUAUUUGCUGGUCAGCUGGAACAUUCAAGUUGGAAUCAUUUGAUUGAUCUCUGGGUUCUUACCUGUUUCUUUUUGAGAGAAGAAAGUAUAUGUUGCUUUUUGUCAUUGUCACAAAGUUUGUAGGGGCUUGGCUGAUGAUUGGGUAGAAUUUCUGUUCGAGGCAGAAGAAUUUUUUUCAUUAGGAAGUCAUUAAGAAGCCCUAUUACUAUUAUUAACUGAAUCCUUGGCUUUUUAACAAACAAGAAAAAUAGUGAUUAUUUCAUGAUGUUGUUCUGAUUCUUUAGAUAAAGUUAAAAUAACAGCAAUGUUCAGUGAAGCCUUUUCAUGGACUUGAAAUUGGCCUAUGUUCCUACUAUAUUUUUUCCGAAGUCCUGAAUCUUCUUCCAGGCAGGUCCUAUUCAUAAGAGGAAGCUAAAGAAUAGAAUUAAAACAUGAAGCUCAUUGUGUUAUUUUUAGAAUCGUGAAAAAUGUCAGUCUCCUUCUUUCCUGUAUUCUCUUCCUUUACAACCUUAUAUAGUAAUUCAUGUUACUACUUGAUACCCGGGAAAGCACAAAUAUAUUCUAGUCAUAUCCAUGUUACACUGAGUAUUAUGACAUGAAAGUCAAGGGUUUUAGGGGAACGGAAAGCAGCACAGAUGUGAAACAAGUUAUAUACAGUUUGUGUUCCUUAACAUCCAACAGGUUCUAAGGGUAUUGCCAUAGUGCAAUGACUCCUAAAGGUCAUUAAGAAACAUUUGUAGAAGGGAGAAAGAGAAGGAUUUUUCCUUCCUGAAGAAAAAAUGCAGUUAACUUUCAAUGUCAAACACACCUUAUAAUUUCGAAUGUCACUACUGCAGUGUGAUUUCCAAUGUCUGUGCCAUGUUUUAGGUAAUGAAACUUGUUUAAUAGUAAGCUACUGAUAGAGGAAAUACUUGGCACCUUGAUCCUAUUUCACUUUACAUCUACAUAUAUAAUGAAGUUUGUGCUAUGAUAAAUUUAAAUAGUGUGACAUAAAAUUUCUCAUGAAGAUAAGUUUCUUUCCAGUACUGGCAAUGGGCCAAGGGAAGAGUAGAUGGAGUGAGAAGACUGUGGAUUUUGAUCCAAUUUGUUUGUGUGCAUUUUUAUAAAUUAUUAAGCUGAAUUUGACAAUGGUUUCUAGCUAUAAGUUGAUUUUACAUAUAUUGUUUUAUAUGCUCAAAUUUAUUUCUAUGGCCUUAGAAAUUCUUUAGGAUAUAUAUCUGUAGAUAUAUGUUAAAAUUAUUAAAAUAUUAUUAGGGUUAAUUACACAUAGAGUAAAGGCAGAAUGAAAUGAAUUAGGUACUCAGAGUAAAGCAUUUUAUAUCUCUGAGAAUAAAAUAGACAGAUUUAAAAUUUAAGAUUUGCUUAAGAAAUAAUUUGAGAUGAUGCCCUUUUUUUUGACCAGAUUCCUUUUUCACAUAAUAGGAUUUUCAAUUUUGUGACUUCAAAUUACAAGUAACCACAUUUAUUGAAUUUUGGAAAUCUCAUUUCAGUUGGAGGCAAACAGACUGAUAGUAGUUCAAGCAGGUUUCAUUUUUCCCAUCCUGUGCUUUUAUGUCUCCUUGUUUGCCUAGCUCCUUGGUAUGCUUCACCUAUAUACCUUCCUUUAAGCAUGCCAUCCCUGAUUUCAGGAAUGGAGAUGCCCUAAGGAAAGGGGGUUUUUAUAUGAAAUACGAAAGUAAAAAGUAGCAUUUGCAGUUACAGAUGAGUUAGGGUGAUGAGGCUGCUUUUACCAAGUUUCAUGGGGGUUUUGAACUUUGUCAGAUACUUUGGUUUUGAGAAACAUGAGCUUUGAAUUCCAUUUUCAAAGUACAUUGAAUUAGACAAAGUAAAAAAUAUCUGUUUUUCACCCAAUAGCUCAUAAUGUCUAAAGGGACUAAUACCUGGCAAAUAUCAUUAGUGGUCUGUAAUCAUGGAUUUCACUGGCAAGAAAAGAGUCUCCUGAAACCACAAGAAUGUAGGAUUUCAAUAGGAAGAAGGUUCAUUCUCUAUUCGAGAGAAGGUGUUUGCUUUUGGGAGUUGUCUAUAUUCCAUUUUUUAAAAUCUCAUUCUGCCCUUCUUUAGGGUUGAAAACGAGCUUGGAUUGUGGAACCUUUCACUGAAAUAACUGUUCGGAUAUUUUAAUUCUGCACAUCUUCUCAAAUGUAGGAGAGAAAAUGAAAUUCUUUGAAGAGUUUUACCUGCUCAGACUGGAUUCACCUUUUUAAAAUUUUGCUUGAAUAAAACUUGUC